UGGCACCCAACGUUGAGGCUUGAGAAUGUGGAGGAUUGGUGAACGUCCCACAGCCGGCGUGCACAUCAGUUGGACCACCGUGGAGAACGCUCCGUGAGCGAAGGUCCCAUUCAGUGAUCGCCACGGGGAUGCCCGACUGGGAGACAGAUUGGGGAGUUGAUUUGUGCUGACACAAGGUAAGUUUACCAUGGGACAAGCAUUCAGUAAACAGGAUUUAUUUAUUUCAGGACUGAAACAGUCUCUCAAGACACAAGGAACAAGGGUUAAAAAGAAAGAUUUAAAAAAGUUUCUUGAUUAUAUUGGGGACCUCUGUCCCU
rfam:Neotoma lepida isolate 417 scaffold_18233, whole genome shotgun sequence.